rnacentral:rRNA from 1 species
UGGGGAAUUUUGGACAAUGGGCGCAAGCCUGAUCCAGCCAUGCCGCGUGCGGGAAGAAGGCCUUCGGGUUGUAAACCGCUUUUGUCAGGGAAGAAAUCUUCUGAGUUAAUACCUCGGGAGGAUGACGGUACCUGAAGAAUAAGCACCGGCUAACUACGUGCCAGCAGCCGCGGUAAUACGUAGGGUGCAAGCGUUAAUCGGAAUUACUGGGCGUAAAGCGUGCGCAGGCGGUUUUGUAAGACAGAGGUGAAAUCCCCGGGCUCAACCUGGGAACUGCCUUUGUGACUGCAAGGCUUGAGUGCGGCAGAGGGGGGAUGGAAUUCCGCGUGUAGCAGUGAAAUGCGUAGAUAUGCGGAGGAACACCGAUGGCGAAGGCAAUCCCCUGGGCCUGCACUGACGCUCAUGCACGAAAGCGUGGGGAGCAAACAGGAUUAGAUACCCUGGUAGUCCACGCCCUAAACGAUGUCAACUGGUUGUUGGGAAGGUUCCUUCUCAGUAACGUAGCUAACGCGUGAAGCUGACCGCCUGGGGAGUACGGCCGCAA